UAUUCUGCCCUACGGGGAAGGAUGAGAAGCUUCGACCAAGGUUCGACUCGAGCGUAGCGAGA
rnacentral:sRNA from 1 species